CCUUUAACGAGGAUCUAUUGGAGGGCAAGUCUGGUGCCAGCAGCCGCGGUAAUUCCAGCUCCAAUAGCGUAUAUUAAAGUUGUUGCGGUUAAAAAGCUCGUAGUUGGAUCUCGGUUUCACUCAGGUGGUACACCUUGCGGUGUUCACUAUCUGGGUGGACGUUUCUGUUGGUUCGCUCUUGGUGCUCUUCAUCGGGUGCCAUUUGGUGGCCAGCACGUUUACUUUGAAAAAAUUGGAGUGCUCAAAGCAGGCGUUACAGCCUGAACAUUAGUGCAUGGAAUAAUGGAAUAGGAUCUCGAUUCUAUUUCGUUGGCUUUCGGAGUCGAGGUAAUGAUUAAUAGGGACAGACGGGGGCAUUCGUACUGCGACGUUAGAGGUGAAAUUCUUGGAUCGUCGCAAGACGAACUACUGCGAAAGCAUUUGCCAAGAAUGUUUUCAUUAAUCAAGAACGAAAGUUAGAGGUUCGAAGGCGAUCAGAUACCGCCCUAGUUCUAACCAUAAACGAUGCCAACCGGCGAUCCGUCGUCGUUAAUUGAAUGACUCGACGGGCAGCCUCCGGGAAACCAGAGUGUUUGGGUUCCGGGGGAAGUAUGGUUGCAAAGCUGAAACUUAAAGGAAUUGACGGAAGGGCACCACCAGGAGUGGAGCCUGCGGCUUAAUUUGACCCAACACGGGAAAUCUCACCAGGCCCGGACACCGGAAGGAUUGACAGAUUGAGAGCUCUUUCUUGAUUCGGUGGGUGGUGGUGCAUGGCCGUUCUUAGUUGGUGGAGCGAUUUGUCUGGUUAAUUCCGAUAACGAACGAGACUCUGGCCUACUAACUAGAAGGUCUAUCCUUUAUGGGUAGGCCUCUGCUUCUUAGAGGGACGGGCGGCGUUUAGCCGCACGAGAAUGAGCAAUAACAGGUCUGUGAUGCCCUUAGAUGUUCUGGGCUGCACGCGCGCUACACUGAAGGAAUCAGCAUGUUCUCCCCUCCCUGAAAAGGGCGGGUAACCCGUUGAAACUCCUUCGUGAUGGGGAUUGGAGAUUGUAAUUAUUCUCCAUGAACGAGGAAUUCCCAGUAGGCGCGAGUCAUCAGCUUGCGUCGAUUACGUCCCUGCCCUUUGUACACACCGCCCGUCGCUACUACCGAUCGAGUGAUUUAGUGAGGACUUCGGACUGGUCUUCAAGUUGGCUUCGGUCGGCUCGAAGUUCCGGAAAGAUGCCCAAACUUGAUCACUUAGA
rnacentral:rRNA from 1 species